rnacentral:rRNA from 1 species
UACGUAGGGGGCAAGCGUUGUCCGGAUUUAUUGGGCGUAAAGCGCGUGUAGGUGGCCGAUUAGGUCCGCUGUGAAAACUCGAGGCUCAACCUCGAGAUGUCGGUGGAAACCAGUCGGCUAGAGUCCGGAAGAGGAGAGUGGAAUUCCUGGUGUAGCGGUGAAAUGCGCAGAUAUCAGGAAGAACACCAAUGGCGAAGGCAGCUCUCUGGGACGGUACUGACACUGAGACGCGAAAGCGUGGGGAGCGAACAGG